GUGUUUCUGACACUUAAGUAAUAAACCAUCUCUUUUAUAGUUCAGUGCAAUUUUUUGUAUUGUUGUAGCCUGUUUGCUGGGGCCCAGGAGAAUAAUUAAACUGAUGCAGUGUUUUGUCUUGUCCUUUCUCCUAUAAGGACGGUGUGGCAGACCUCUAGCUCAAUGCUAGGAGACGAAUUGGGAACAAUCAUGUGAAGUGAAACCUCCUGCAACCUUUCCCUUUUGGUACCUUGUUAUGUCUGCGACACAUCUCUAAUCCGAAGCUAGGUGUGGUGACGAGCUCUACAGCAGACUUGCGCAACUCAAUCGCUGGCUGAAAAUGGAGUUCUGCCCGUCGCAGGAG
ensembl:lncRNA